AACGAACGCUGGCGGCAUGCCUAACACAUGCAAGUCGAACGACACCUUCGGGUCUAGUGCCGGACGGGUGCGUACCGCGUGGGAACCUGCCCUUAGGUUCGGAAUAACUCCCCGAAAGGGGUGCUAAUACCGGAUAAUGUCUUCGGACCAAAGAUUUAUCGCCUUUGGAGGGGCCCGCGUUGGAUUAGCUAGUUGGUAGGGUAAAAGCCUACUAAGGCGACGAUCCAUAGCUGGUCAGAGAGGAUGAGCAGCCACACUGGGACUGAGAAGCGGCGCAGACUCCUACGGGAGGGAGGAGUGGGUAAUAUUGGAAAAUGGGCGGAGGCCUGAUCCAGCAAUGCCGGGUGAGUGAUGAAGGCCUUAGGGUUGUAAAGCGCUUUUACCCGGGAUGAUAAUGACAGUACCGGGAGAAUAAGCACCGGCUAACUCCGUG
rnacentral:rRNA from 1 species